CGGGGACCUCCCGCCUGAAGAGAGCGCUUAGCACGCUAAGCCGAGCUCCGUGGCGAGGAAGCUCCCAGCUUCCAGGCGCGUUUCCAGGUACAUGUAACUGGAAUAGGGAUCACAUGAUGGAUCUGGGCUGGCUUUUCUCCCACAGUGGGCACUUCCCGAGGAUGCAGCGCUGGUUUUUAUUUCUGCAGUACCACCCAGUGGCCAGUCCGUGUGCUACUCGGAACGAGUUGACCGACCUGUACACGGGAUUAAAAACCCAAAUCUAUUAAUAGCCGCAAUGCAGAUGCAAUAUAGUUUAGCAGAAAGUCAAAUAGAACCACCAAAUGAGGGGGGAGAAAAAAAAAAAAAAACCAAAAUUGUUUUGAAUUCCUCAGUGGCUGUCUCCUAUUUCUUCCACUUGAAAUAAAUCUGCUGACAUGGUGGA